AUUGAACGCUGGCGGCAGGCCUAACACAUGCAAGUCGAGCGGUUGACGGGAGCUUGCUCCCUGAUUCAGCGGCGGACGGGUGAGUAAUGCCUAGGAAUCUGCCUAUUAGUGGGGGACAACGUUUCGAAAGGAACGCUAAUACCGCAUACGUCCUACGGGAGAAAGCAGGGGACCUUCGGGCCUUGCGCUAAUAGAUGAGCCUAGGUCGGAUUAGCUUGUUGGUGAGGUAAUGGCUCACCAAGGCGACGAUCCGUAACUGGUCUGAGAGGAGGAUCAGUCACACUGGAACUGAGACACGGUCCAGACUUCUACGGGAGGCAGCAGUGGGGAAUAUUGGACAAUGGGCGAAAGCCUGAUCCAGCCAUGCCGCGUGUGUGAAGAAGGUCUUCGGAUUGUAAAGCACUUUAAGUUGGGAGGAAGGGUUGUAGAUUAAUACUCUGCAAUUUUGACGUUACCGACAGAAUAAGCACCGGCUAACUCUGUGCCAGCCGCCGCCGUAACAC
rnacentral:rRNA from 1 species